UACGUAGGUGGCAAGCGUUGUCCGGAAUUACUGGGCGUAAAGGGCGCGUAGGCGGCCUUCUAAGUCAGACGUGAAAUCCCCCGGCUUAACCUGGGAACUGCGUCUGAUACUGGGAGGCUUGAGUAUGGGAGAGGGAUGUAGAAUUCCAGGUGUAGCGGUGAAAUGCGUAGAUAUCUGGAGGAAUACCGGUGGCGAAGGCGGCAUCCUGGACCAUUACUGACGCUGAGGUGCGAAAGCGUGGGGAGCAAACAGG
rnacentral:rRNA from 1 species